rnacentral:rRNA from 1 species
CCUACGGGAGGCAGCAGUAGGGAAUCUUCCACAAUGGGCGAAAGCCUGAUGGAGCAACGCCGCGUGGGUGAAGAAGGUCUUCAGAUCGUAAAACCCUGUUGUUCGAGAAGAAAGUGCGUGAGCGUAACUGUUCACGUUUCGACGGUAUCUAACCAGAAAGCCACGGCUAACUACGUGCCAGCAGCCGCGGUAAUCCGUAGGUGGCAAGCGUUAUCCGGAUUUAUUGGGCUUAAAGGGAACGCGGGCGGUCUUUUAAGUCUGAUGUGAAAGUCUUCGGCUUAACCGGAGGAGUGCAUUGGAAACGGGGAGACUUGAGUGCAGAAGAGGAGAGUGGAACUCCAUGUGUAGCGGUGAAAUGCGUAGAUAUAUGGAAGAACACCAGUGGCGAAAGCGGCUCUCUGGUCUGUAACUGACGCUGAGGUUCGAAAGCGUGGGUAGCAAACAGGAUUAGAUACCCUUGUAGUC